rnacentral:lncRNA from 1 species
UGGGAACUGAACCCAGGACCUCCAAUGUGGGAGGAAGACCCCCAAUCGCCUAGACCACCUCCAUUCCCUGUGCUCUCCUGCCCCGCCAGUGGGUAUACAGAGACCACGAGGACAACAGGGUACCCGAGAGAGGGAGUGGGCAGAUGGCGGGGAAAAACCACUCAGAGCCGCACCAUGCUCAAACCAGGGCAGAACAGCUGCAGGGACAGUGACAGUGAAAGCGCCAGUGGAGAAUCCAAGGGCUUCCACCGGAGCAGCUCUCGGGAACGACUCAGCGAUGUAAGUUAAGAAGAGACAAAAAUAAAAGCUACCAGACCACACACCCCUUGAGUAAGGUCU